UGAUUUCCUACUCAAUUACAAGCGAACCGUCACUUGCUCACUCUGGUGUGUGUUCAGAACCUGAGAUGAACACUGCUGCCUCCCAGAGGCUUCAUAAACCUGCAAAGCAGUAAACAGUCGAAACUCACCAAAACAAAGCCAAAGACUUGCAAAAGAGAAGUAUAGGCUAAGGCUAUAAUUGUAACUAGUCAGUAGUUAAGCCCUAGUGUAGAGUCUAUAUAUAUGUAAACUCAUGUUGUUAAAUACUUCAAUUGUAGAACAUAUUUUGGAUAUUCUCUUGGAAUUUUACGUCCACGCCGGCUUAAAGAACAA